rnacentral:rRNA from 1 species
UCGUGUCGUGAGAUGUUGGGUUAAGUCCCGCAACGAGCGCAACCCCUAUCCUUUGUUGCCAGCACGCAAUGGUGGGAACUCAAAGGAGACUGCGCGGACAACGCGGAGGAAGGCGGGGAUGACGUCAAGUCAUCAUGCCCCUUAUGUCCUGGGCUACACACGUACUACAAUGGGAUGGACAGAGAGCAGCGAAGCCGCGAGGCCAAGCGAACCCCAUAAACCAUCUCCCAGUUCGGAUUGCAGGCUGCAACCCGCCUGCA